rnacentral:rRNA from 1 species
UGGGGAAUAUUGCACAAUGGGCGGAAGCCUGAUGCAGCAACGCCGCGUGCGGGAUGACGGCCUUCGGGUUGUAAACCGCUUUCGCCUGUGACGAAGCGUGAGUGACGGUAAUGGGUAAAGAAGCACCGGCUAACUACGUGCCAGCAGCCGCGGUGAUACGUAGGGUGCGAGCGUUGUCCGGAUUUAUUGGGCGUAAAGGGCUCGUAGGUGGUUGAUCGCGUCGGAAGUGUAAUCUUGGGGCUUAACCCUGAGCGUGCUUUCGAUACGGGUUGACUUGAGGAAGGUAGGGGAGAAUGGAAUUCCUGGUGGAGCGGUGGAAUGCGCAGAUAUCAGGAGGAACACCAGUGGCGAAGGCGGUUCUCUGGGCCUUUCCUGACGCUGAGGAGCGAAAGCGUGGGGAGCGAACAGGCUUAGAUACCCUGGUAGUCCACGCUGUAAACGGUGGGUACUAGGUGUGGGGUCCAUUCCACGGGUUCCGUGCCGUAGCUAACGCUUUAAGUACCCCGCCUGGGGAGUACGGCCGCAAGGCUAAAACUCAAAGGAAUUGACGGAGAUCACGUCU